AAGGCAAAUAAGAAUUCUAGUACAAAAAACAUAUUAUCAUAAAAUAAUAUUUGAAAAAUAUUUAAAUCAUUAAAUAGUUUCCAUUUCUAACAAAGGUAACAUUUAAGAAAUUAGAUAACUAAUAACAAAUAAAGUUUCAUUUCAUGGGCCUUUUCAGAAACCAUAGCUUAUUUAUAGACACUGGGAGGCAGUAAGUGUAUUCUUUUGACCAUAGUACCACAUUUUGAAGACAUCACAUUUCUUUGAGUCUUAGAAGACAUUGAAAGUAGUUUGAAUGUAUUUCUCUAUUAAAGAUUAAGAAAUGAUUUGAAAAUAUAAAACAAAUAGAUGUAAUUGAACACAUCAUUUGUUAUCUAAACAAUUUUAAAAAAUUGUGAAGUUUGUCGUGAAGGCCAACAGGAACAUGCCACACUUUAACAACAAACAAAACGGCCGACAUUUUACAUAAAGAAAAAGGAGGUUUCCCACACAGCUGCUAUUCCACUGCUCUGCUAGCAUAUUUCAUUGCCAAACUGAACUGGUGAGAUGACCGACCAUUAGGCCACAAAUUUUAAAUGGCCCAAAUCAAAGGCUUGACCCUAUUUUGUUGCAUCAGCAAAAGUAUCACAAGGUUUCUAAGAAUUACAUUGUGUACAGUUCAAUUGACCUCCAGCUGCAACCAGCUGUUCCUGGUGGGGAAUACAGAAAUGGAUGGAAGGUGGAGAUCAUGGCUGAUGCUUCAGCAAGAAUUCAGAAAGAUUUAUCUUUAGGACCAUGAGACCGGAAACCACAACAAGAGAAUAAGAGAAAAGUAGCCUGAAUCCUUGACACUGUGAAGUGAAAGAGAGAAUAAACUGCUUUCAAUUAUGAUUACACUAGAAUUUCUGC